rnacentral:tRNA from 1 species
GAUAGCUCAGUCGGUAGAGCAGAGGA